AAGGCCUUAGCUUAAUUAAAGUAGCUGGGUUGCAUUCAGUAGAUACGGGUGAGAAACCUGUAGGUCUUA
rnacentral:tRNA from 2 species